UGAGGAAUAUUGGUCAAUGGGCGAGAGCCUGAACCAGCCAAGUAGCGUGCAGGAUGACGGCCCUAUGGGUUGUAAACUGCUUUUAUAUGGGAAUAAAGUGAGGGACGUGUCCCUUAUUGCAUGUACCAUACGAAUAAGGACCGGCUAAUUCCAUGCCAGCAGCCGCGGUAAUACGGAAGGUCCAGGCGUUAUCCGGAUUUAUUGGGUUUAAAGGGAGCGUAGGCUGUUUGUUAAGCGUGUUGUGAAAUGUAAGAGCUCAACUUUUAGAUUGCAGCGCGAACUGGCAGACUUGAGUGCGCACAACGUAGGCGGAAUUCAUGGUGUAGCGGUGAAAUGCUUAGAUAUCAUGACGAACUCCGAUUGCGAAGGCAGCUUACGGGAGCGCAACUGACGCUGAAGCUCGAAGGUGCGGGUAUCGAACAGG
rnacentral:rRNA from 1 species